rnacentral:rRNA from 1 species
CCUACGGGAGGCAGCAGUGGGGAAUAUUGCACAAUGGGCGCAAGCCUGAUGCAGCCAUGCCGCGUGUGUGAAGAAGGCCUUCGGGUUGUAAAGCACUUUCAGCGAGGAGGAAAGCUUAAGCGUUAAUAGCGUUUAGGUGUGACGUUACUCGCAGAAGAAGGACCGGCUAACUUCGUGCCAGCAGCCGCGGUAAUACGAGGGGUCCAAGCGUUAAUCGGAAUUACUGGGCGUAAAGCGUACGCAGGCGGUUUGUUAAGCGAGAUGUGAAAGCCCCGGGCUCAACCUGGGAACUGCAUUUCGAACUGGCAAACUAGAGUCUUGUAGAGGGGGGUAGAAUUUCAGGUGUAGCGGUGAAAUGCGUAGAGAUCUGAAGGAAUACCGGUGGCGAAGGCGGCCCCCUGGACAAAGACUGACGCUCAUGUACGAAAGCGUGGGGAGCAAACAGGAUUAGAUACCCUGGUAGUCCACGCCGUAAACGAUGUCUACUCGGAAUUUGGUGUCUUGAACACUGGGUUCUCAAGCUAACGCAUUAAGUAGACCGCCUGGGGAGUACGGCCGCAAGGUUAAAACUCAAGGAAUUGACGG